CCUAAUAAUAAUAAUAAGAACGCCAACAAAAACAAGAGGGUCCUACGCACCUUCGGUGCUUGGCCCCUAAUAAGAAGAAGAACGCCAACAAAAACAAGAGGGUCCUACGCACCUUCGGUGCUUGGCCCCUAAUAAUUAAAGCUGCAAGCAGCGAUGAACGGGCCCUCGCACCCGGGCUCACCGCCAUCGUGUGGCUUUAGUAAAAAGGUGAACGUUGAGAAAUAUGCAUUUAAACUCAUAAAUAUAAGUGCAAUAUAUCAAAGUUUAUUCCAUAUGUGUGCCAAUCUUCCUGUUGCCAGCAGGUGGCGCUAUCGUUAUAAUGGAAUAUUGGCCUUCAGAUGUGUUCAAGCCAGGACCCUUAUCACACAUGUGAAGUUUGGGCAAGAUCGGACAUUUUAUGCCUGAGUUAUAACAUCUUUUAUUCCCAUGGCGAGACAUCGAACUUCGUCAUGGCGACAUGGACAUGCCUUUUAACAAGAACUCAAGAUCUUCACAAGUAACCAUCACACAGGUCUUUAGAUUAGACUGACCACAAAAAAGACAUUGAUGUCAUAAAAUUUCUAGGAGUAGUUUGUCACAGAGUAAAAUAUGUCACUUCCAGUUGCCAAUAGGUGGCGCUAUGACUAUAACUGAAUAUUGGCAUGUAGAUCUGUUCAGGUGUAGAGUCUUAUCAAAAAUGUGAAGUUUGGGGCGGAUUGGACAUUGUAUGUGUGAGUUAUAGCACCAUCAUUUUUCAUGGCGAAUCAUCGAAAUUUGUCAGGCCGCCAUGGACACGCCCUUUAACGAAACCUCAAUUCCUUCGCAAUUUAACAUGGCAAAGGGCUUUAGAUUACACUGACCAAGUUUGGUGUUGAUCUGAAUAAAUCUCUAGGAGGAGUUCGUUAAAAUACAACCCCUGAAAAUGACAAAAACAACACCAAUUUUGCAGGGAAAAUUAAAAAUAACCGACUUCGUGUUGGGAUUCGGGGUUCGUACCAAGAGACUUUUUUGUAGCUAUUGGUGUGUUACAUAUGUUUACCGAUUUUCGUACAUGUAUAUGACAUGUAGCUCGAGGCGCACUCCAUUGAAAAUGUAUAGGUGGCGCUAUCGAGCCAUUUUGCCACACCCAAUGGAAUAUUAGCCUCCAGAUGUGUUCAGGUCAGGACUCUUAUCAAACAUUUGAAGUUUGGGCAAGAUCUGAUAUUUUAUGACUGAGUUACAACAACUUCUACUCCCAUGGCGAGACAUCGAACUUUGACAUGGCGCCAUGGACACGCCCUUUAACGAAAACUCAAGAUCUUCUCAAUUUAACAUCGUACAGGCCUUUAGAUUAGACUGACGACAAAAAAGACAUUGAUGUCAAAAAUUUCUAGGAGUAGUUUGUCGCAGCGUAAAAUAUGUCACUUCCUGUUGCCAAUAGGUGGCGCUAUGACUAUAACUGAAUAUGGUCGUGUCAAACUGUUCAGGACAGGAGUCUCAUCAAACAUGUGAAGUUUGGGGCAGAUUGGACAUUGUAUGUCUGAGUUAUAGCAACUUCCUGUUUCAUGGCGAAUCAUCGAAAUUCGCCAGACCGCCACACACAGGCCCUUCAACGAAAACUCAAAAGCUUCGCAAUUUAAGAUCGCAAAGGCCUUUAGAUUAGGCAUACCAAAUUUGGUGUUGAUCUGAAUUAAUCUCUAGGAGGAGUUCGUUAAAAUACAACGCAUGGAAAUGACAAAAAUGACACAAAAUUUGCUCAUAAUAUUAGAAAUAACCGACUUCCUGUUGGGUUUCGGAUUUUGCUCCAAGAGACUUUUUUGUAGGUAUUGGAGAGUUACAUGUGUAUACCAAUUUUCAUACAUGUACAUGAAACUUAGCUCGAGACGCACACCGUUGAACGUGUAUAGGUGGCGCUGUUGAGCCAUUUUGCCACACCCACUUCUGAAUCCCAUAUCAGACGUAAAUUUUCGCCAGUUCUGAGGUGUGUGCAAAGUUUCAUGACUUUUCGAGCAUGUUUAGGCCCUCAAAAAUGCGAUUCAUCUUAGAGAAGAAUAAUAAUAAUAAUAAUAAUAAUAAUAAACGGAGCAAUUCCAAGAGGGUCCUCACACCAUCGGUGCUCGGGCCCUAAAUAUAGCUGCAAGCAGCGAUGGCGGGCUCAAGCCACCAAUGCCAUCGCCACCCCGGUGGCAUCAGGUAAACUGUGCCCAGCGGGCACAUGCAUUCACAAUAGCCCUCUGGCAGUGAGGUUUUAAAGGAUAUGGCAGUUAAAGGGUUAAUCCGAAUCAUCUAGACUUUAAAAUCACAUUCACAGAACAAUAUAUAUAUAUAACUUUAGUAACACUUUACAAUAAGAUUUCAUUUAUAAACAUGUUAACAUGAACAAUAUUUAUAUAGCAUUCAUUCAUGUCAGUUAAUAUUCCAAACUUAAACAUUAAAACAUUGUUUUAUUGUGAUUUUUUUCCAAGCACAUUUUACCAAUUCCAAACCAUAUCAAUCUUAAUAACUACCAUUAUUUUUUAUUUAAUCAUUUAUGAGUGCUAUACAAUAGUCCAGGAAAGCUGGAAGAGAAAAACUCCUUAUAUUCAUGUGUGCAGAAUUAUUAGGCAUGUUUUAUUUUACAGAUGAAAUGCGCUGAAAAUGAUAAAGCUAUGAAACUUACUGUGCUUCCUUCAAAUGAUGACUUCUACGUAUAUAAAAAAAUUAUGAAGAGUUGGAAUGAAAAAUGUUAAAGAUAUAGUAAAAUAACUAUUGUAUUUUUUUAUGUUACUUUAAUAAAUCGCUAUGGCCACACCAUUUAAGGUAUCCUAAACCCAUUCGCAAUUUAACAUCUUCAGUAUAUUGGCUUCAUGUUAAAAAAGUUUUGUGUGAACUACUUGUGUCUUCUUGGAAGAGAAUGAAUUCAUUUACAGGUUGAUUUUAUCAUAAAUCCACAAUAAAAUUUCUGAGUUCUGUAUCAAUCUGUGUUGUUGUUUGUUUAUUUUUAUUUUUUUUUAUUUUUCAUAGGAAGAAAACUGACCCUUUACUCUCCUUUUUAAUAAAUGUGCUUAUAAACCAAGAACAAGCUAUUUAUAGCUGUAUUUAUAAACUGCUUACUACUGACUAUUACUAUUGGGACAAAGCUUUAUAAAGCAUGAACUGACUAUUUACUAAUGAGUGCAGUUAUUAUAAAGUGUUAUCAAUGCAUUUGCUAAUGUUAACAAAUUAAACAUUAUUUUACAAUGUUAUCAAAUCCCUUAAAUGAUUUGUAAGUGUUUUGUAAUGAUUUUAUUGACCUACAAGCAUUUGUGAAAGUUCUGCUUGCAUUACAGCUUAGUCUUGAUCUGUGAGCUGAACAGAUUUACUGUUACAUCCAUGAGAUUAUGUAAAUUCAAAUAAAUAUCAUGUCACAGGAUGUCAGAGGUCAGUAUCAAAUUAGUUUGAAAUUAUUAUUUGCAGCAAAAAUAAGGUCAGAAAACUGUCAGAAAAGGAUAAGGCCUAAGAUUUCUAUGUGAGUGGCUAAAUUUAUUUGUUUUUAUAAUUAUAAUGCAUAAACUAUGAAAUUAUACAAAAUGUAUAAAAAAGUACAACAGUUAUUGUUUUCCAAUGUUUUUUAUUUAUUUUUUAUUUUUUAUUUUUUUGGAUUGACAUUUCAAAAAAUUAGCCUACUACAUUCAUUCUAAACAGCUUGAAUAAAACCUGUUAAUAUUUAUUAUAGACCACUGUAACUGUGUAUAAUCUAACAAACAAGUUUAUUAUGAAAAUAAAAGUGUGUACACCAGAUAAAUUGGACGAUAAAGAAAUUGCUAACAAUAGUAUAAUAGAGCAUGUUUUAGGUUUUUAGGCGUUUAGAUGCAGAAAUGGACAAAUCAAAUGUAAAAUAUAAUGUAAUUGAUCUAAUGAAAUAUAGAUUAAGUCUUGUUAGAGAAAAAUAAUAAAUAAAUACGUACACACAUUAAAAAAGCAGCCAAGAUGAAUGAGUUUAAUUUUUUAUAUAGAUUAAAAUUGAAGACAGAAGCAGGUAUAUGCGGUCACUUAAUAUUAAAAUCCAGUAGAUCCACUUCAGAUUUAUUUCUCAACAGUUUAUGUUCACGUGGCUGUUUUCGUUUAUAUUAGCCAAGCUAUUAUGUAUUUUGAAAUAAUCUUGUCCGUGAUGUGUUCGUUCUUACGACGAAAGUCUUGCGCACAUAAACGGGUCACAAACACCUGUAUUUAGCUCGUGUUGUGUUAUAAUGGGUGUAUUGUGUGCAUUUAUGCCAAUAAUUUAUUUUAAAAAGCUCUUAAACAAGAAUAAAUUCGUUAGUUUUGAACUUGUGACACUGUGCGCGCUGAUCGGAGGCAGUGAUUUCAGAUAGGCAGCCGCGAAUAUUUCAUUUUCACACAAACAGUUCAAAAACAUCUUAAUUUAGCUCUUGGUGUGUUCUGAUUGGUGAAUUGUGUGAUAUCGCUGCAAUACUUUAUUUUUAAUAGCUAUAAAACAAGAAUAAACUCGUUUUUUCUGAGCUCAUCAUUCCACACGCUCCUGCUCAGAGCGGUGAUUCAUCUCUCGUGUUUCUCACGUAUCACUGACCACACAUCGAUUAUUAAUGAACCCUGACCUGAUAAUAAUCAUAUAUGUUGGUUUAGCUUGUCAGUGUGAAUUAAAUCCAAGUAUUUAUUUGUAUGUUAACCGAUUUAAAAGUGAAACCAAAAGAGAGUCUCCUCCCUUUUUCAGAUGCCUUUUUUAGUCUGGUAACUGCACCUGUAGGGGCGCUAUUUCUCUCAGACAAUGGAAGUCUAAGCACACACACUCAAACAGAUGGAGUGAGAUGAGAUGUCUGACAGUUUUUUUAAUUUUAUGUUAUCCAUACAGUGUUGUAAAGUCAUGAAACUAUGCAUAUUUACUCAGAAUAAUUUUUUUUUCUGUAUGAAAAAAGGUUUUGAAGUGUUUGGAAUUUAAAAAUGCAGAAAAAUUAAUAAUUCCAUUUUUACUGUCAUUUAAAAAAAUCACCACGACAAAACCAUCCAAGCUAUCCAAAACCCAUUCACAAUUUAAGUUCCUCAAUGUUUUUUCAACAUGUAGACCAAGUUUGGUGUGUAUAGUGUUACUCUCCUCUGAGCAGUAUGCAUUAAUUCACAGCUAAAUGUAAAAAACAAUCCACAUUCAAAUCAAAAUAGCCGACUUCCUGUUGGUCGUAGAUGAUGACUGUGAAUGAGAAAGUUGUCCGUCUUGAUAAGAACAAUUUUUGUACUGAGUUUGGUGUCUGUAGCUAAAACUAACCCCCCCACUUUUGACAAAAGGUGGCGCUAUAGAGUGCCUCUUCCACGCCCUCUUAUGAACUUUUGCCAGUGUCUAGCUGUCACUAAUACUGAUAUGUGUUCUGAGUUUGAUGAAAUUCUAAGCAUGUUAUAUGCCUCAAAAUCACCUGAGAAGUAUUCCAGUUUGACAUGUUGCCAUGGCAACAAUAUUUUUAGAUAUCAAUAUCCUCCCAGCAGAUUUAUAUCGGCUGUGUUUUAACAUUAUUCUGAUGAAGUUUGAAGCAAAUCAAUAAAAAUAAGAUGCUGAAUUCAAAGCAUUUUGAAAAUGACACACUUCCUGCUGCCAGUUGGUGGCGCUAUAACUUUGACUCCUAAUAGUCACAUAUAUGCGAUCGACAUCAUACAAUGAAUAAUCUGAUGAAGUUUGAUUAAAAUUAGGAAAUGUAUGUGGAUGGUAUUAGACACUUCCUGUUUCUCAAUUCUCGCCAUAAAUUCAACGCCUCGCUACAAGCAAACCGUUCGAGAUAUCAAAAAUCCCCUGUCAAUUUUUCAUCCCCAAUGUCUUGAGAUCAUGUUGACUGAGUUUGGUGGCAAUCGAGUAAAAAACCUAUGACAAGUAUAUCAAAUUCCAGAGCAUGCGCUUUUUACAUAACUCUAAAUAGCUGACUUCCUGUUGGGCGGAGCCUAUGACAUGCAAUACGCAAGUUGUUCGGCACGAUGAGAUCUAUAUGUGUACUGAGUUUCCUAUUAAUACGUGCAAGUAUGUGUGAGCUAUACAACAAAAUUUCUGACUGUGUUCCAGGGGGCGCCGUAGAGCCCCUGUGCCACGCCCGGCUCCCAGCCUCUGCAGGCUCCUAAAGGCCACAGAUUCCAAAGUGUGUGCAAAUUUUCAAGAGUUUUUGAGUAUGUUAAGGACUCCAAAAGCCCCCACAACUUUGAUAACAAAUAUGAAUAAUAAACCCUAAAUAGCCAACUUCCUGUUGGGCGGAGCCUAUGAUAUGCAAUACGAAAGUUGUUUGUAUUGAUGAGUUCUAUACGUGUACCGAGUUUCGUACGUCUACGUACAAGUAUGUAUGAUAUAUGGCCCUCCAUAUUCCAGGGGGCGCUGUAGAGCCCCUGUGCCACGCCCGUGUAUCAGUCUCUGCCCGGCCCUAAUGGCCGCAGGUUCCAAUGUGUGUGCCAAUUUUCAAGACUUUUUAAGCAUGUUAAGGGCCCCAAAAGCCCCCGUAACGUUAAAAAAAAAAAAUAAAUAAAUAAAAAAAAAAAUAAUAAUAAUAAUAAAAAAUAAUCCUAAGGAAAACAAUAGGGCUCUCGCCCUCCAGGCUUGAGCCCUAAUAAAAAAACAAAGCAGAUACAAGAGGUUCCUCGCACCUCGGUGCUCGGGCCCUAAUUAAAGCUGCAAGCAGCGAUGAACGGGCCCUCGCACCCGGGCUCACCGGCAACGAGUGGCAUUAGUCAAAAGGUGAACGGUGAGAAAUAUGCAUUUGAAGUCAUAAAUAUAAAUGGAAUAUAUCAAAGUAUAUUCCAUAUACACUGCUCCAAUCUUCCUGUUGCCAGCAGGUGGCACUCUCAUUAUUAUGGAAUAUUGGCCUUCAGAUGUGUUCAGGCCAGGACUCUUAUCGAACAUGUGAGUUACAACAACUUCUCUUGCUAUGGCGAGACAUCAGAUUUUGUCAUGGCGCCAUGGACACGCUCUUUAACAAAAACUCAAGAUUACCACAAUUAAACAUUGGACAGGCCUUUAGAUUAGACUGACCACAAAAAAAAAAAAUACAUUAAUGUCAAAAAAUCUCUAGGAGUAGUUUGUCUCAGCGUAAAAUAUGUCACUUCCUGUUGCCAGCAGGUGGCGCAAUGGCUAUAACUGAAUAUGGGCAUGUAGAUUAUUAAGGGCAUAACACUUAUCUAACAUGUGAAGUUUGGGGCAGAUUGGACAUUGUAUGUCUGAGUUACAGCAACUUCCUUUUUCAUGGCGAAACAUCGAAAUUUGUCAGGCCGCCAUGGACACUCCCUUCAACGAAACCUCAAGCUUUUUUGAAAUCGAGCUUUUUUGCCACACCCGAUGGAAUAUUGGCCUUCAGAUCUGUUCAAGCCAGGACUCUUAUCACACAUGUGAAGUUUGGGCAAGAUCGGACAUUUUAUGCCUGAGUUAUAACAUCUUUUAUUCCCAUGGCGAGACAUCGAACUUCGUCAUGGCGCCAUGGACACGCCUUUUAACAAAAACUCAAGAUCUUUGCAAUUUAACAUCGCAAAGGCCUUUAGAUUAGGCAUACCAAAUUUUGUGUUGAUCUGAAUAAAUCUCUAGGAGGAGUUUGUUAAAAUACAACGCAUGGAAAUGACAAAAAUGACACAAAAUUUGCUCAUAAAAUUAAAAAUAACCGACUUCCUGUUGGGUUUAGAAUUUUGGUCCAAGAGUCUUUUUUGUAGGUAUUGGUGUGUUACAUGUGUGUGCCAAUUUUCAUGAAUGUACGUGAAACAUAGCUCAAGGCGCACACCGUUGAACGUCUAUAGGUGGCGCUGUCGAGCCAUUAUGUACAAUUAUAUUACUUGACCAUUGUACAAAAAAUGCUGACUGGGUCAUGAGGUCAGAAAAGAAGAAGAAAAAAACAGGUCAAGAAGAACUGACAAAAAGAAUUGCAAAAUAAUUAGGAAUUAAUGUGAAGAUUAAUUUUUUGUCAAUUCUGCAAGACAGACUUUCAGGAAAGGAGGUGGAAUAAAAAUGAGCUCCUAAAUCUCAAUCCCAGAUUCUGGAAGAUAUAUUCCUCAAACCAUCGGACAAGAGGAGGUGGUGCUGGUCCUUCACGAGUCACUCUAAUCUGUUCAUAAAGCCUAUAUAUAAAGUCUUAAUAUAUAGUAUUUCACAAUACUUCAUGAAUCAGGGUAUCUUCCGUCCAUUCCAAAUCCGUUUCAAAUUAAAAAACAGAAAACGAAAAACUCAAGAGGAUUCAAGUGAGAGAACAUGAAUUAAAUAAUGAGAAAUGGAAAGAUGGCUCGUUUAUUCGUUAUUCCAUCUAGGUUAACAAACGGAAAAUGAGUUUUUGACUUGAUUUCUCAUUUUGUCGUUUUGGGUUUAAAAAACGGCUUAUGGCUUCAAUAUUUCAUUCGCACUUGUGGGCGGAGCUGAAACGCUCCUUUCAUCUGAUUGGUCGGAUCGCUCCGCCUUCAACUCGAGCUUACAUUCUUUCAGAAUAAGAGUCUUAUAUGAGUAGUGUCUGAAACCACCGCUCACUGUUAAUUAACAUAAUAUUUGAGUCAGAUGUUGCUGCGCACAUAAUUCGUGCUGCUGUGACUUGCAAGUCACGCCUUUAAAUUAUUUCUAGGUUAUAGUAUUGUAUGAAUAUUGUCCCACUGUAAAUACAGUGCAAAUAGUUUUGUCUCCUUGGAUAAAAGUGAAGAGGAAAUAAAAAUCAAUAAUAGACUGAACAGUUCCAUGAUAAUAUGUCUGUAACAUUUACCACUCUCAUCUUUUAAGUCAAAAGGCACUAGGUAGGUGUGUGUGACAUUAAUAAUUAAU